rnacentral:lncRNA from 1 species
UGUUCCUUAACAAUAUGAAUUCCUCCAUACAGGAAAGAAUGGCACCCACUGACGUUAUUGAUGCUGGCUGAACGUUUAUGGAGACAAAAUUGCAAUUUUCAUGGAAAUUAAUAGGAUGUGCUACUUUUGGAGAAACCUGUGUACAUAAAUAUAGUACACUCCUACUGAAAACUGAUCUAUAUGUGCAAGAACAAAGUGGUGGUGAAGUUUCUCUUGAGCACAGGGUUCAAUUUUGGACCAAGGAAGAUGUGAGCCAACAGAAACAAGCCCAGUGGCCCCAUAGAGCUGACACCAACACAACUGCCAUACUGGAGAGCCUGUGGCCAACUGUCAUUCCUGUGAGCAUUCCAGGCUUCACUCACAAUCCCUGA